rnacentral:rRNA from 1 species
ACCAUCCUAAGGUAGCGAAAUUCCUUGUCGGGUAAGUUCCGACCUGCACGAAUGGAGUAACGACUUCCCUACUGUCUCAACCAUGAACUCGGUGAAAUUGCAGUACGAGUAAAGAUGCUCGUUUCGCGCAGCAGGACGGAAAGACCCCGUGACCUUUACUAUAGUUUGGUAUUGGUGUUUGGGUUGGCUUGUGUAGGAUAGGUGGGAGACUGUGAAGCCGCUACGCUAGUGGUGGUGGAGUCGUUGUUGAAAUACCACUCUGGUCAAUCUGAGCGUCUAACUUCGGGCCAUGAUCUGGUUCAGGGACAGUGCCUGAUGGGUAGUUUAACUGGGGCGGUUGCCUCCUAAAGUGUAACGGAGGCGCCCAAAGGUUCCCUCAGCCUGGUUGGCAAUCAGGUGUUGAGUGUAAGUGCACAAGGGAGCUUGACUGUGAGAGUGGCGGCUCGAGCAGGUGCGAAAGCAGGGACUAGUGAUCCGGCAGUGGCGUGUGGAAGCGCUGUCGCUCAACGGAUAAAAGGUACCUCGGGGAUAACAGGCUGAUCUUGCCCAAGAGUCCAUAUCGACGGCAUGGUUUGGCACCUCGAUGUCGGCUCGUCGCAUCCUGGGGCUGGAGUCGGUCCCAAGGGUUGGGCUGUUCGCCCAUUAAAGCGGUACGCGAGCUGGGUUCAGAACGUCGUGAGACAGUUCGGUCCCUAUCCGCUGCGCGCGUUGGAGAAUUGAGAAAGGCUGUCCUUAGUACGAGAGGACCGGGACGGACGAACCUCUGGUAUGUCAGUUGUACCGCCAGGUGCAUGGCUGAUUGGCUACGUUCGGGAGGGAUAACCGCUGAAGGCAUCUAAGCGGGAAGCCUGUUUCGAGAUGAGUUCUCCUGGCACUCUUUGUGGUGUGUGAGGCUCCUUAGAGAUGAUGAGGUUGAUAGGCCGGGUAUGGAAGCGUUGUAAGGCGUGGAGUUGACUGGUACUAAUAGGCCGAAGACUUAUUCAC